rnacentral:rRNA from 1 species
ACUAUUGGAAACGAUAGCUAAUACCGCAUAAUAUUGAUUAUUGCAUGAUAAUUGAUUGAAAGAUGCUAUUGCAUCACUACCAGAUGGACCUGCGUUGUAUUAGCUAGUAGGUGAGGUAACGGCUCACCUAGGCGACGAUACAUAGCCGACCUGAGAGGGUGAUCGGCCACACUGGGACUGAGACACGGCCCAGACUCCUACGGGAGGCAGCAGUAGGGAAUCUUCGGCAAUGGACGAAAGUCUGACCGAGCAACGCCGCGUGAGUGAAGAAGGUUUUCGGAUCGUAAAGCUCUGUUGUAAGAGAAGAACGGGUGUGAGAGUGGAAAGUUCACACUGUGACGGUAUCUUACCAGAAAGGGACGGCUAACUACGUGCCAGCAGCCGCGGUAAUACGUAGGUCCCGAGCGUUGUCCGGAUUUAUUGGGCGUAAAGCGAGCGCAGGCGGUUAGAUAAGUCUGAAGUUAAAGGCUGUGGCUUAACCAUAGUACGCUUUGGAAACUGUUUAACUUGAGUGCAGAAGGGGAGAGUGGAAUUCCAUGUGUAGCGGUGAAAUGCGUAGAUAUAUGGAGGAACACCGGUGGCGAAAGCGGCUCUCUGGUCUGUAACUGACGCUGAGGCUCGAAAGCGUGGGGAGCGAACAGGAUUAGAUACCCUGGUAGUCCACGCCGUAAACGAUGAGUGCUAGGUGUUAGGCCCUUUCCGGGGCUUAGUGCCGCAGCUAACGCAUUAAGCACUCCGCCUGGGGAGUACGACCGCAAGGUUGAAACUCAAAGGAAUUGACGGGGGCCCGCACAAGCGGUGGAGCAUGUGGUUUAAUUCGAU